CUCCAGACUCCUACGGGAGGCAGCAGUGGGGGAUAUUGCACAAUGGGGGAAACCCUGAUGCAGCGACGCCGCGUGGGUGAAGAAGCGCCUCGGCGCGUAAAGCCCUGUCAGCAGGGAAGAAAAUGACGGUACCUGACCAAGAAGCCCCGGCUAACUACGUGCCAGCAGCCGCGGUAAUACGUAUGGUGCAAGCGUUAUCCGGAUUUACUGGGUGUAAAGGGGGCGCAGACGGCGAUGCAAGCCAGGAGUGAAAGCCCGGGGCCCAACCCCGGGACUGCUCUUGGAACUGCGUGGCUGGAGUGCCGGAGAGGUAGGCGGAAUUCCUAGUGUAGCGGUGAAAUGCGUAGAUAUUAGGAGGAACACCAGUGGCGAAGGCGGCCUACUGGACGGUGACUGACGCUGAGGCUCGAAAGCGUGGGGAGCAAACAGGAUUAGAUACCCGCGUAUC
rnacentral:rRNA from 1 species